UACGUAGGGUGCGAGCGUUAAUCGGAAUUACUGGGCGUAAAGCGUGCGCAGGCGGCUUUGCAAGACAGAUGUGAAAUCCCCGGGCUCAACCUGGGAACUGCAUUUGUGACUGCAAGGCUAGAGUACGGCAGAGGGGGAUGGAAUUCCGCGUGUAGCAGUGAAAUGCGUAGAUAUGCGGAGGAACACCAAUGGCGAAGGCAAUCCCCUGGGCCUGUACUGA
rnacentral:rRNA from 1 species